rnacentral:snoRNA from 1 species
UAAAAGGAUGACAUCCAACAUCUACAAUUAAUAUUCUGGUACCUCUUAUGUCAGGAGACCUCUGGUUUCCAAUGAUCUAAAUGGACUUCUGAAC